AAGUUUUCUAUAACGGUCAUCACAACAAGUGAAUUACUUGCAGAAGAGAACAGCAGUGUUAUCGUUUAUUUAUAAGCAAAACAGUGGAAACCUAUAAUACUCUCACUCUUUCAUCACAAGGGUUCCAAUGGAUGCUGCCCACUGUCAACUAAACCAUAACCUUAACUUUCCCCUCAUCCAAGACCAAACCCUACGCUGCCAUGAAAGCAAUCAAAAUCCUCAAACAGAUUCUGCAAAUACCACAUCUUUCCUCAAUACUUGUCUCAAUGGACUCAAUGCUUUGUCAGACGAGGAUUGAAAAGCGAGUGGAAGGGGCGUUCGUUUCGAUAGAUUUGGAGUGAUAUGCUGAGACGGAUUUGUGGGGGAGAGAGUAACAACCAUCUUCGAUCAGAUGAAGAGAAAAGAAGGGAAAUAGUGUAUAUUUAUUAUGCAAUUACAUGUUUGACCCUAAUAAAGCAUUUGAUUUUGAAAUAGAGAUUUUGUGUGCUUGUCCACUAAUGAAGGCACGUAUUGGUUGGUGGUGGAGUUUAAUGUGUUGCUACAAUACUAUGAAAAAAUUUAAUUUAUUUUA